rnacentral:rRNA from 1 species
AACUAAUUCCUACACCACCUAAGAACCCUUACACAAUACUGAGUAAUCCUAUGUCCCCAUAGAAGAUUUUAUGUUAAAACUAGUAACAAGAAGAAGAACUUCUCCUAAAAUGCAAGUGUAAACCAGACAGGACACACCACUGACAAUUAACACCCAUGAGCAAAAAGUAGUAACUUAACAAGAAAACCCUACUGUACCACAUGUGUUAACCUAACACUAGAGCAUUACAAGAAAGAUUUAAAGAAAAAGAAGGAACUCGGCAAAUAUUAGCCUCGCCUGUUUACCAAAAACAUCGCCUCUUGAAAAACAUAAGAGGUCCAGCCUGCCCAGUGACUCUGUUCAACGGCCGCGGUAUCCUAACCGUGCGAAGGUAGCGUAAUCACUUGUUCUUUAAAUGAGGACUAGUAUGAACGGCACCACGAGGGCUAUACUGUCUCCUCUCUCUAAUCAGUGAAACUAAUCUCCCCGUGAAGAAGCGGGGAUAAAUAUAUAAGACGAGAAGACCCUAUGGAGCUUUAAACCACACAACACCUGCUCUAACUCAACUAACUUCCAGAAAACCCCCAUCUACCCAUGCAGGAUGAUUGCUAGUUUUAGGUUGGGGUGAUCGCGGAGCACAAAAUAACCUCCACAUUGAAAGGAGCCCCACUCCUUAGCUAAGAGCCACACCUCCACGCAUCAACAAAAUGACAUUAAUUGACCCAAUAUAUUGAUCAACGAACCAAGUUACCCUAGGGAUAACAGCGCAAUCCACUUUAAGAGCCCCUAUCGACAGGUGGGUUUACGACCUCGAUGUUGGAUCAGGGUAUCCCGGUGGUGCAGCCGCUACCAAGGGUUCGUUUGUUC